CAACAACAACAACAUCAAAAAAUGUAUACUAUACAUGCUCGUACAUAUGUACAUACAUUCCUUGCCGUAUAUUUACAUAAAUAAUGAAAGCACUGAAAUUCGUAAAUCUGCAUAAAAAAAUUAAUAUCAAUUGCAGUUUACAAUAAGAGUGCGAAGAGAAAAUAUGAAUUGCAUAGUUUUUCUUUCUUCGGAUGUCUGCAACUAAUGUCCGUGCAAGCGCAGCUUGCGAAUCAAGGAAUAAGAUAUAAUGGUUUCUUAAAACAGCCAAUAAGAAGAGUCACAGCUGCCUUAGGUAGAAAAAAUUUGUUGAAAGACAAUUGCUGGAAGACGUUAAAUGCAUUGAUUGUUUCUUUAAUAAUUUUUUGUUGUAGCGCAUAUAAAAGGUAACAGUUUUUAUGAAUCAAAGAACGAUGAGGCAACCAUUGCAUUUAUGAAAAAUAAAUAAAUACAUACUAUAUGCAUGCAUUUGUAAACAUGUGAUAGAAUAUAGAAAUAUAUGUUCCAUUUAUUCCGUAAAAAGAAAGUGCAUAUUAAGAUAACAUUUACAAGACAUGAGUCGAAUUGUUUUUCAACGUAUAUCUUUAUUUAAAAAAUUUCGAACACAAAGCCUCAACUAUAAAAGUAGUAAGCGUAAAUAAAUUGUUAAAACUGAUUUUGAAUAUGUUUAAAGCGAGUUGAAUAAAAAAAAACAUUAUGGAAACCAUAUGAAACAGAUAUAAAUAUUAUAACAAUUAAAUUGAGAUAUUUGGAGACAAAAAUGGCUUUUUUCAGUUGCUUUAUGCUUUAUUAAAAUUUUCAUAGUAGUAAUAGAGUAAGUUUACAAAAUUGAAUUGCUUUUGCUAUGGCAAUGGACAUGCGUAGGUCGUCCCUUUGCGUAUGUCCCUUAAGUCAGGUGUAGAAUUCCGCGAGUCCUCAUUUUUGUAGCAGUAAACCAUAUUGGUCACUUGUAAGCCUAGCAGUGCGACUAAAUGACAUGAAAUGUAAUUUCUGAAAUAUGUUUAAAUAAUAAAAUAAAAAGUGAGCAUGCGUUUUUUUACUAUAACAGCGCAAAAAUUGCAUUACGCGCAGUAAUUUUUUUUUUUUGAUUGCAUAAUAAAAUUAUAACGAAA